rnacentral:misc_RNA from 1 species
UUCCAUAGAGUGAUCUUCUUUGUUUCUGCAAUUUAUCUUCCCCAAGCUUUGCUUGUGCACUUUUAUCAACUUCUUGCCCUAAAAUAGGUUCUUCAACAUGUGAAUGUUCAAGACUUGAAUCUUUGGAUCAUUCACUCUCAUACUUUUCAUUCUCAUCUUCAAGCUGCUUUUUGAAUUCUUUUUCUUAUUCAUCUUCAACGUAACUCCGCCUAAGUAGUUCGCGCUUAGCCGGUCCCAAGCCCGA